UACAGAGGUCUCAAGCGUUGUUCGGAUUCAUUGGGCGUAAAGGGUGCGUAGGCGGCGCGGUAAGUCGGGUGUGAAAUCUUGGAGCUUAACUCCGAAACUGCAUUCGAUACUGCCGUGCUUGAGGACUGGAGAGGAGACUGGAAUUUACGGUGUAGCGGUGAAAUGCGUAGAUAUCGUAAGGAAGACCAGUGGCGAAGGCGGGUGUAUGGACAGGUCCUGACGCUGAGGCACGAAGGCCAGGGGAGCAAACGGG
rnacentral:rRNA from 1 species